rnacentral:rRNA from 1 species
GGUUGACCUCGGAUCAGGUAGGGAUACCCGCUGAACUUAAGCAUAUCAAUAAGCGGAGGAAAAGAAACCAACAGGGAUUGCCUCAGUAACGGCGAGUGAAGCGGCAAGAGCUCAAAAUUUGAAAGCUGGCUCCUUCGGGGUCCGCAAAAA